rnacentral:misc_RNA from 1 species
GUGGCUAGAUUAAUAAUGGAGUCUGAUCUAAAGAGAUGGUUAGCUGAAGGAUUAUCCAGUCAACUGCAGCUGCCAGUUGAUAAAGGAGUAGUAGAGUAUCUAGUUGCUAUAGAUACUAAGGCUGAAGUAGAAGACUACCUGGAGGGUCUUUUAGGUAAAAAGUCUGAUCAGGAUUUUAUACGAGAGUUUCUGCUCCGCUGGACAGCCAUAGUGGAGGAGAGACGUCACCAUGGCAAUGUGGAAAUGAUAGUAGCACACUCUCGACAGGAAAAAGAAGAACUUCUUCUUUUUGAACCAAAGAAGACAACAAAGAAAUCUAAAAAGGAUGUUAAAGAAGCUCCUAAAGCCACAGCCCCUUCCCCUGGAUUUGGUAUACACCCACCACAGAAUACCUCUACUCAUAAAAGAAGUGAAAUGGUUUAAAAGGAGGGAGGGGCUUCAAAGACUAAGUUUGUUCCAUUGCUAAGUGCAGAGGGUGAGUCCCAGUUGAGUAUAAAGUUCCCCGGGAGGUUCUUAUGUCAGUGUCUGGGACAGAAACACGAACUGGUUAAUAAUUGCUUGGAAUGUGGAAGAAUAGUUUGAUAUUCUUAUUUCUUUAUUGGGUUGUGUUGAGAUGAAAGGUUAAUACUAUGCACCGUAUGUUCCUCAUAGAGUCGUGUUUCUCAUUAGCAUCAAAGGGAAUUAUUCAUGAAUCGUUUAUAACACCUGCACCUAUCGUAUCACACCACAUGAAUCAGUGGUGGUACCACCUCACUGUGGAU